UUUUUGUUCUUGUUUUGAACCUCUCAUCAUGUGUUCCUGUCAAUUACCAUUUCCUAGGCACUGAAGGGCCAGUAGUGAACUGGCAGUGAUCAUGACAGAGCCCCUCAUCACUCCAGCCCUCAGCACAUGGGCCCAGGUGUCAUGGAUGAUAUGCUCUGCUGAGGAAGAUCACAGUGAUCUUGAUAUGAUGGUGCAGGAUGAGACAUUGAGUUUAUGCACCUGCUGACAGAGAAGAAAGGCAAGAAGGAGGACAGGACAGAGUGGGAAUGCUGAAUGUAAAAGCUGCAGAAUAAGAGUUGCUGUUCCUGGUGCUGACAAAGAGGUUGGGGGUAAUUGCUGUUAUGUUUUCUCUCUCUCCUUGAAGCAAUUAGUUUGUGCCCUGAUCCCUCCUCAAGAGCACCAGUGCAAUCUUCCUUCAAACCCAGGGAUAUUUCCCAGGUAGUAGAGGGAGAAGAGCUUGAGGGUCUUCUGCUGCUCCAUCGGCUCCCUAUUGCACUGACCCAACUCUGCUGAAUGCUGAGUUAUUUGCCUAGCUGUCAGGGACUUAGGUUGUCGUUCAUGGGUUA
rnacentral:lncRNA from 1 species